AGUACACACUGCUCUUCACCUCUGUUCUCUUCAACAAUGCGUUUUAUCUACUACAAAGGAUAUCACUUGGGAAGGAAUUUCUUGAAACUGCUCCCAAGAGAGCCAUUGGACCAUGUGGUAAACAACUCCUAGCUGAUGGAUUAUUGGGAAUAUUAACAUCAUCCAGAAUGCUAUGGGGAGAAGACAACUGGAAGCUCCGUGUGGACAAACCUCCUGGACUCUGCCCCACAUAUCUCUUCCCUUGGCUGAUUUGAAUUUGUAUCCUUUCACUGUGAUAAACCACAACCAGAUUAUUACAGCUGUCAGCAAGUUCUUCUAUUGAAUUGUUGAAACUGAGGGUGGUCUUGGGAACCCCUGAACUCUACUGUUGGUGUCAGGAGUGAGGGAAGUCUUGUGGACUGUACUCCCUGACCUCACAGUUAGAAGCUGACAGCUGACACGCCCUUCCUUUGUGCAUUUUAUCCUGGGACAAAAUGAGAAGACAUCCUUCAGUUCCCAUCUUGGAUGGCAUAACUUCAAAACCAAGGGAGAUGGAGGAGUUUUAGAGGAGUAGAAGGCUGCAAGCAAGAACUGAUGCAUUACAUCUCCAGUCACCUCACUCUAAGAUUGUCCUGUAGCUAAGACUGUUGAAUGAGACUGUUGUUCUUCAGUUUGCAGCCACAAAGCACGGAGGCAUCUCCCCAAGAAUCCACUGCAGGGAGGAUGAACAGCCCUUACCUGGAUUUUUGCUUUAUCUAAAAAUAUAUUUGUAGAAGAAGGAGCAUUCUAGUUUCCAAAUACAAAGGGCAAUCUCCUUCUCUGUGUGUGCACGUGCAAACAAACACACUUCUACAAGUAAGCAUUCUUCUUUAUUAUCAUAGUCAUCAUCAUCACUGGGUUGGCAACUAAAAACAAAACUACAAAACUCUCAUGUUAGCAGUUGAGUAACUUUUAAUAACCAGAUACAAACCAUUCUUCAUUGUUUACAAGGGGCAUUAAAAAGAAAAGGAGGUUGAACUGCAAUGUGAAGUGUAGUUAAAUAUGUAGACAUCUUGGAUUCUAGAAGAGUUUGUAAUGGAUUAAAGGGUUAAGCUAUGAAAUUGUUGCCCUCUGUGAUUUUUCCACACUAGAACAGACUGACAUGGUUUGAAGCAGUUGGGCUUUAACCUAUAGAUAGGAGGACAGAGAUGAUUGCCUAUGAAGCAAUUAUUAAAUAGCUGCAUUUUGGCAUGUUCUAGUUGAAAAGAUUUAGUUUUACCUAUAUCACCUCAUCAUCACUAAUUUAAUCAUCCUCAGAAAAUGCAAAAAUAAUGAUGUACAUUUGACAAGUCUUAUACAAAAUUAUGUUUCAUAGCUUUGUGGUCAGAAUUAAGCCAUGUUCUAAAAUACAAAUGAAUAGUUUACAGCCCACUAAUUCCUAACUGUAAGUGUUAAGUCUAUAUAAAAAUAAGAGACAAGCUUGUGAUCAGGAAUAGCUUCCAAUUAUGAAAAAUUUAAAUAAAAAUAAUAGAAUGUGCUUAAUUUAUUUAUCAUAUACAAAGUAGACAUAUGUGACCAAAAUGAUUCAUUAUUUUUACGAUUUUCAUGGGAAUAAGUUUGACAAUAUUAAGUGCUGGAGAUAGAAUAUCAGGUAAUCUUAAAUACUGUUCAUAGGAAUGUACAACCAUUUUGGAGAACAGUUGGAAUUAUCCAAAGAAAGCUGAAGAUUUUCCUAACUUAUAAUUUUAAAAAUUGGCACAUGCCCUCAAGUAACAGUUGCAUACCUAAGGAGACAUGUGUAAGUAUUUUUACAGCAGCAUUAUUUAUAAUAGCCCAAAUUGGAAAUAACCUAAAAUCAUAUGUUCUUACAAAGGAGUACUACACAACAGUGAAAGCAAAUAAACUAUAGCUAAAUGUUAUCUAUCUUGAAGGCAUUUAUAAGAAUAAUGAUGCUUUCACAAAGUAAAUUGCAGGAUGUUAUAUACAAUGUGAUACAAUUCAUGUAAGUUACCAAACAUGCAACACAAUACAUAACAUUGUCCAAGGAUAAGUAUAAAUGCAGUAAAGGUAUAAAUAAAUGUAGGAUUAUGAUGCUUGCUUGAA
ensembl:lncRNA LINC01915 long intergenic non-protein coding RNA 1915